rnacentral:lncRNA from 1 species
GCAUGAGUGUAAGACACAUGGAGAAACUCUGGAUUUUGAGAAUGGAUUAAAUUGUGUAGUCAUAGACUUUAUAAAUGGCCUGUGCAAACUGCACAUACUGCAUCAUAAAUAUAAUAAACCUGUUUAUAAUGAUCCCAGCAAAAAAGUUAAGGUUGAAAGUUAGCCUUAUUGAAGUGAAAACUUGCAUGAUAUCAAUUGUAUACUCACACAUUCUAGUUAGUAUGUAAAUGGACUGUUUUCCCUAUUAAUUUCUUUGCUUUUUCUUUUCUUCCACAAGAUUUUCAAAUCAGAUAUUUAUUCUGAUGGAGCAAGUUACCAAACCUUGUUACAGUGAAUAUCUAGCAAAUCAUUCUUCAGGGACCCACAUGGAUGAGUGAGAGUAAGAGUCUCCAGGGGAUUAUCCAAAAAAAAAAAAAAAAAAAAGGCAGAAUGACGCUUACAUGUAAUAGUAAAAAUCCACACAGAGGUGGAAAAUCAAAGCUAAUUAGCAAAUAGUAUUAUUUGCCUCUCUGUGAGAAUUUAGCUUAGUCUCUGCUCUCUUUGGUAAUACUAAGCUUGAAUCUAGAAUACUAAGCAUGAAUUCUGCCUUAAGAAACAAGACACUUCGUGCUUCCAUGUGCUUAAGUAGAAGAUGGAGUUUUUUUCAAAUCUACAUUUGAAUACCAUCUUUCAAAAUGAAGAUAAUUCUUUCUUGUUAGAUGAAUUGGGUGCUGCAAGUCUUAUGACCAAUGAGGAUAUUAACUUUUCUGGCUAUCUGCAGCAAGAUCAUCAUGGCUACAGCAGCAGUAUAUGACAACGAGAAAGACUUUGAAUCAUAGAAAAUGCUAAUGAAGGUGUUUUGAUGGCAUCCUCAUGAAGCAUGAAUUUAAUCUCUCUAUUGCAAAAAAGAUGUUCAUUCAGUUUAUUCUGAAACACUUGGAACAAAAAAUAAACAUAGCUGUCUUCCAAAUACCUCUAAU